UUAUUAUUAUUAUUAUCAACACAACGACGUUGUAUGGCACAGCAAACAAGAUAGAUAUGCUGGAUUUCGUUUCGCAAAACCACAAGUCGAACACUUCCCAAGUGUCUAGGACUGUGUGAUGUAUUUUCUGAUGAUGUGUGCAGAUCCCAGUAGGGUGGCCUUUUGCAGUUGGCAGAUGGUGAUUUUGUCAAUGUCUAUUGUUUCCAAAUGCCGGCUGAGAUCUUUUGGCACAGCACCCAGUGUGCCCAUCACCACCGGGACCACCUGUACUGGUUUCUGCCAGAGUCUUUGAAGUUCAAUCUUGAGGUCCUGAGAGCGGCUGAGUUUUUCCUGUUGUUUUUCGUCAAUGCGACUGUCACCUGGGAUGGCAACAUCAAUGAUCCAAACCUUGUUCUUUUCCACAACUGUGAUGUCAAUGCGACUGUCACCUGGGAUGGCAACAUCAAUGAUCCAAACCUUUUUCUUUUCCACAACUGGGAUGUCUGGUGUGUUGUGUUCCAGAACUUUGUCAGUCUCAAUUCGGAAGUCCCACAGUAUCUUUGCGUGCUCAUUUUCCAAUACUUUUGGAUCCCAGCAGUAAAGAACUGGUGGUACUUGAGGCAUAAGUUCCAAUGGAUCAUUUGGGCCACAUAGUUGUGCCUCUGUUUGUAGUCUGUCUGUGCGAUUUUCUUACAGCAGCUGAGGAUAUGAUCAAUGGUUUCGCCAGCUUCCUUGCACAGUCUGCAUUUUGGGUCAUCAGCUGAUUUUUCAAUCUUGACCUUAAUUGCGUUUGUUCUGAUGGCUUGCUCCUGGGCUGCAAGGAUCAGGCCUUCUGUCUCCUUCUUCAGGGUCCCAUUCGUGAGCCAGAGCCAGGUCUUCUCAUCAGCUUUUCUCAAUUUCCUUCAAUAUAUAUAUAUAUAUAUAUAUAUAUAUAUUGUGUAUGCUAUUCCAGUAGAGAGGUCUAACCAAAGCAGAACACAGUGAUAUUAUUCCAGUUACAUUUUUGUGUUUGUGGACCUGAUAAUUCAUGGAUUUGAUUUAAAAUGUAAUGUAU
rnacentral:lncRNA from 11 species